CCUUCGGGAGGCAGCAGUGGGGAAUAUUGCACAAUGGGGGGAACCCUGAUGCAGCGACGCCGCGUGAGUGAAGAAGGAUUUCUGUAUGGAAAGCUCCUUCAGUAGGGAAGAAGAAAGACGGUACCUUACCAAUAAGCCCCGGCUAACUACGUGCCAGCAGCCGCGGUAAUACGGAGGGGGCAAGCGUUAUCCGGAUUUACUGGGUGUAACGGGAGCGUAGACGGCAGGGCAAGUCUGGGGUGAAAGGCAGGGGCCCAACCCCUGGACUGCUCUGGAAACUGUCCGGCUGGAGUGCAGUGGAGGUAAGUGGAAUUCCUAGUGUAGCGGUGAAAUGCGUAGAUAUUAGGAGGAACACCAGUGGCGAAGGCGGCUUAC
rnacentral:rRNA from 1 species